rnacentral:rRNA from 1 species
GUGGGGAAUAUUGCACAAUGGGCGCAAGCCUGAUGCAGCAACGCCGCGUGAGGGAUGACGGCCUUCGGGUUGUAAACCUCUUUUAGUAGGGAAGAAGCGUAAGUGACGGUACCUGCAGAAAAAGCACCGGCUAACUACGUGCCAGCAGCCGCGGUAAUACGUAGGGUGCAAGCGUUGUCCGGAAUUAUUGGGCGUAAAGAGCUCGUAGGCGGCUUGUCGCGUCUGCUGUGAAAACCCGAGGCUCAACCUCGGGCUUGCAGUGGGUACGGGCAGGCUAGAGUGAGGGAGGGGGGAUUGGAAUUCCUGGUGUAGCGGUGGAAUGCGCAGAUAUCAGGAGGAACACCGAUGGCGAAGGCAGAUCUCUGGGCCGUAACUGACGCUGAGGAGCGAAAGCAUGAGGAGCGAACAGGAUUAGAUACCCUAGUAGUCC